rnacentral:lncRNA from 1 species
AGUGUUUGUUUGUUAUCGAUUUACUAUCUAUAGUAUCGGAGUUACAGUACUAUAGUCUCAUUUCGAUCUUAGGAUUUUCAAAUCAACGAUACAUAUCGUUAAAUAUGAUCUAGAAUGUAUGAAUUUCUUAGAAAUAAAAUUUUAUUUUAUUUUUCCGACAUUGUUUACUUAGUAAUAAAAUUAUGUCAAAAUGAAAGUUGAAAUUGAACAAUUUUUAAAGUUUGAGGAUAGAACUUUUAAAUUCAGGAUCAAGGAUGUUGAUCUUCAUCUAGAUAUUUUAAAGUAUUUUUUAUCAAAAUUUGAAUAAAUUUAAAUUCUUCUACACCGUUAAACUACAAAUUUGCCAUACUAGCCAUUGAAAAUUGAUAAUUUUGAAAUAAUUUGAUCAUAAAGUAAACUAUGUCAAAAAAAAACUAAAAAUUUUAUUCCUAAAAUCUUCAAAUACUUUAGAUUAGUUUUAAUAGUAUGAAUCGUUAAUUUGAACAUUCUAAGUUUGAAAACGAGACUAUAGUACCAGAGUUCCGGUACUAUAAAUAGUAUAGGAACCUAGCUCUCUCUCUCUCUCUCUCUCUCUCUCUCUCUCUCUAUAUAUAUAUAUAUAGUCCGUCUAUGGUGUUUUCGGAAGUAUAAAAAGUUGGUACUUCGAGCUUUUUAGCCCUUGGAUCAAUUGCUUUGACUAUUUUUAAUUAUUGGAUUAAUAUUAUUCUCCCGGAGGAAUCAUUAAACCUUAGGGAGACUACUCAACACUAGAGGUGACUGCUAUCAUCUCAACCAUACAAUUCUUGAUCUAAGAGCCAAAAAAUCAAAAACACUUACUCCUUUAUACUUUCAAAAGUACAGUAACUCUACACUAUAUAUAUAUACACCACAACAGCAAGCAAAAAUGUUGAAGUAAUUAAGAUUCUGAACCUUGAAAGUGGAAGCUUCAAA